rnacentral:rRNA from 1 species
GAUGAACGCUGGCGGCGUGCCUAAUACAUGCAAGUCGAGCGAAGGGACGAGAAGCUUGCUUCUCGGAUGUUAGCGGCGGACGUGUGAGUAACACGUGGAUAACCUACCUAUAAGACUGGGAUAACUUCGGGAAACCGUAGCUAAUACCGUAUAAUAUUUUGAACCGCAUGGUUCAAAAGUGAAAGACGGUCUUGCUGUCACUUAUAGAUGGAUCCGCGCUGCAUUAGCGUGUUGGUAAGGUAACGGCUUGCCAAGGCAACGAUGCAUAGCCGACCUGCGAGGGUGAGAGGCCACCCGGGCACUGAGCGACGGUCCAGACUCCUACGGUAGGCAGCAGGGCGGAAUCUUGCGCAAUUGGCGAAAGCCUGACAGCGCAACGCCGCGUGAGUGAUGAAGGUCUUCGGAUCGUAGAACUCUGUUAUUAGGGCGGAACAUAUGUGUAAGUAACUGUGCACAUCUUGACGGUAGCUAGUCAGAAAGCCACGGCUAACUACGUG